AACGUAGGAGGCGAGCGUUAUCCGGAUUUACUGGGCGUAAAGCGUGUGUAGGCGGUACGGUAAGUUGGAUGUGAAAGCUCGGAGCUCAACUCUGAGAGGCCAUUCGAUACGGGACAGCUAGAGGCAGCUAGGGGAGAGUGGAAUUCCUGGUGUAGCGGUGAAAUGCGCAGAUAUCAGGAGGAACACCGGUGGCGAAGGCGGCUCUCUGGGGCUGUUCUGACGCUGAGGCGCGAAAGCUGGGGGAGCGAACAGGAUUAGAUACCCCUGUAGU
rnacentral:rRNA from 1 species